rnacentral:rRNA from 1 species
UACGGGGGGGCAAGCGUUGUUCGGAAUUACUGGGCGUAAAGGGCUCGUAGGUGGCCAACUAAGUCAUACGUGAAAUCCCUCGGCUUAACCGGGAACUGCGUCUGAUACUGGAUGGCUUGAGGUUGGGAGAGGAGACUGGAAUUUACGGUGUAGCGGUGAAAUGCGUAGAUAUCGUAAGGAAGACCAGUGGCGAAGGCGGGUCUCUGGACGAGUUCCUCGACGCUGAGGCACGAAGGCCAGGGGAGGCGAAACGGG